AGGUUCAAAUGUAUCCAAAGUGUUUUAUAUUUGUAAAUUUAUCAAAACAUGAGUUUGUGACUUUCUAGGAAGGAACCUGUAUUAUAUUUGGAGAGGAGAUCCAGAGAGAAAAAACUAAAGGACUGAUAUGUGCCUGCAAUGUAUGAAGGAAGAAGCAGUGGAGCAUAAUCUGACUCCUCCACAUCCAACGUGGAUGAGAUGUUGCUCGUGUCUUUCCCAGUGAGCCGUCCCACAACGCCGCACUCAGAGCCGGGAAGCAGCAGGGAGCAGCCCGGACUCAGACGCACUGCAGUAGACGGGUUUGCUGUAAGUGAUGACUGACCCGAUGACUUUAUAAAAGAAUAGCAUGGCUGCACUUGACGACGACUUCCCAAGUGCUCGUCAUCACCUGUGGAUUAUGUUUCCAUGGUAGCACACAACAUUACAACUGUUGCGACAUGUCGGACUUGUCCGCCCCGACGUUAAGCGGCCUUCUCACAGAAGAGCAGGACGUGCAAAAAACGAGGACCGCAGCAGCCGAGUUUUACCGGAUCAACGGAGUUCCGGGGAUAAUAGAGGAUAAUAGAGAUAGCUCUGAAUGAGCUCUUCCUCCAGCAGCCUGCAGACAUUCAUGGCUACCUGGUACGAUGCUGUUUUCUUCUCCCUGUUGAAGGGGAGCAGCCGGAACACACUAUUUUGAUUAAACAACUAGAUUUUAAAGCCAUUUAAUCGGAAAUGAACGCUAACAAAGUGUGUUAUGUAAUUCUGAAUAUGUUGAAGUAUUACUUAUUUCUUUUAUGACAAAUAUCAUUCCAGUGUUAACCUGGUUUGGCAAAAUCGCAUUACAUACGGACAGGUUUUUUUUCACGGAUUUCGACAGGUGUCAUUAAUCAUUUCAUUCACAUUUCAUGGCAAAGUUCCCAGUAAACUGCGGUUUUAAACAGCCUACCCAAAUGCCUCAGUGACUCCAAUGACCUUGGUUUCAUUAUGGUGUUGAUACUUGUAAAAUCUAUUAUUUGUUUUUCUAAAAUAAGCACAGCAGCAAAGAACCUAGCUAUGGAUAGAUACGUUUGAAGAAAAAUUGUAUUUGAACUACAGCUUUUACUGAAACUGCCUAUUUUAUUGGAAACGUGCAAAAUUAUAUAUAUAUAUAUAUCUAUAUAUAUAUAUAUAGAUAUAUAUAUAGAUAUAUAUAUCUAUAUAUAUGCGACUUCUAUUGCUUUUUUAUUGGCCCGUUUAUUGUUGACAACUUGUCAGAGGAGAAUAAAUGAAAUUCUGAAUAGCAGAAAUGGGCAACAGCAGAAACCAUGUUUCUGAAUUUUGCCAUAUUGUUGGGCAUUUACUUCUGGCUUCUACUUAAACUGAAUACCAAGUUGUUGUGUUAGUGUCAGAACAAAGGCUAAAGUAAGACACUUUAAUUGUGGCUGUACCAUACAUCCCCAAACACAUUGAUGAAAUAUUGUUGUUGUUUUUUUUUUUGUAAUUUGAAAACCAAAAUGAACUAGCACGUGUAAUUUAGACAGAUUAGUUAACAGAUUAGUUAACAAUGGAUUAUUUGCAACUAAAAAUUCAAGGCAUAUUUUUUGUGUUGUUCCAACAUUGUAAAUAUUAUAAAAUGUAUGGGAUUAUAUGAAUCUAUUAGAAUUUGUUCUUGUGUUUUGAUCUUUGACAGGGGGGACAGGUAGGGUUACAGAUUGUUGAAACGUGUCACCCUAAAAAUAUAGUCCAAAACCUAAAGUGUAAGCUACGAUAUUUUUUUUUGUAUACAGUAUAUGUUUUGUUCUGUUGUGUUUUUGUGUCUAACAGACUUAUAAAAAGUUAUACCACCAUCAGAUUUAACAAAAACUCUGCACAUGCGCAGCUCAUUGCCAGUUGUUACUCCGUGCUGUGAGAACCACUGGCAGUGGUGUUGUAUGCUUUUCAAAAGUGCGGGGCAUGUUGUUUGCCUGUGGGGCGCAUUGGCUAUGAAUCGAGAUUCUUAAUAACUGUGUAUUUUAAGUUUUUAUUUUACAUAACGUCUUCCAGCUCCUUGUCAUCAUCACUCCUGGCUACAUCUUAAAAUAAAUCCUUCAUCAAAAUGACAGAAAUACUUUAUGGCUCAGUUUACACAACAAAAGCUUAAUCCAAAAUAAAAUUUUUUAUUUUUUCAUCUAAACAUGGUUUAACUUUUUACAGUAAUAUCACUUACAGGAUUUCUCUCGAAACAGUUGUUAAUCUUUUCUUAUCUUUUUCUUUUCUGCAUCUUAAUUGUAGUAAGUGACAAAAAGACAAACGUUGACA